CCGGAUGUUAGCGGCGGACGGGUGAGUAACACGUGGGUAACCUGCCUGUAAGACUGGGAUAACUCCGGGAAACCGGAGCUAAUACCGGAUAGUUCCUUGAACCGCAUGGUUCAAGGAUGAAAGACGGUUUCGGCUGUCACUUACAGAUGGACCCGCGGCGCAUUAGCUAGUUGGUGAGGUAACGGCUCACCAAGGCGACGAUGCGUAGCCGACCUGAGAGGGUGAUCGGCCACACUGGGACUGAGACACGGCCCAGACUCCUACGGGAGGCAGCAGUAGGGAAUCUUCCGCAAUGGACGAAAGUCUGACGGAGCAACGCCGCGUGAGUGAUGAAGGUUUUCGGAUCGUAAAGCUCUGUUGUUAGGGAAGAACAAGUGCAAGAGUAACUGCUUGCACCUUGACGGUACCUAACCAGAAAGCCACGGCUAACUACGUGCCAGCAGCCGCGGUAAUACGUAGGUGGCAAGCGUUGUCCGGAAUUAUUGGGCGUAAAGGGCUCGCAGGCGGUUUCUUAAGUCUGAUGUGAAAGCCCCCGGCUCAACCGGGGAGGGUCAUUGGAAACUGGGAAACUUGAGUGCAGAAGAGGAGAGUGGAAUUCCACGUGUAGCGGUGAAAUGCGUAGAGAUGUGGAGGAACACCAGUGGCGAAGGCGACUCUCUGGUCUGUAACUGACGCUGAGGAGCGAAAGCGUGGGGAGCGAACAGGAUUAGAUACCCUGGUAGUCCACGCCGUAAACGAUGAGUGCUAAGUGUUAGGGGGUUUCCGCCCCUUAGUGCUGCAGCUAACGCAUUAAGCACUCCGCCUGGGGAGUACGGUCGCAAGACUGAAACUCAAAGGAAUUGACGGGGGCCCGCACAAGCGGUGGAGCAUGUGGUUUAAUUCGAAGCAACGCGAAGAACCUUACCAGGUCUUGACAUCCUCUGACAACCCUAGAGAUAGGGCUUUCCCUUCGGGGACAGAGUGACAGKUGGUGCAUGGUUGUCGUCAGCUCGUGUCGUGAGAUGUUGGGUUAAGUCCCGCAACGAGCGCAACCCUUGAUCUUAGUUGCCAGCAUUCAGUUGGGCACUCUAAGGUGACUGCCGGUGACAAACCGGAGGAAGGUGGGGAUGACGUCAAAUCAUCAUGCCCCUUAUGACCUGGGCUACACACGUGCUACAAUGGACAGAACAAAGGGCUGCGAGACCGCAAGGUUUAGCCAAUCCCACAAAUCUGUUCUCAGUUCGGAUCGCAGUCUGCAACUCGACUGCGUGAAGCUGGAAUCGCUAGUAAUCGCGGA
rnacentral:rRNA from 2 species